AACACUGUUAACCUGCGGUACCUGCGGAAGGAUCAUUACAGAGUUGCAAAACUCCCUAAACCAUUGUGAACGUUACCUAAACCGUUGCUUCGGCGGGCGGCCCGGGUCCUUCCCGGCGCCCCUCGGCCCUCGCGGGCGCCCGCCGGAGGUAAACCAAACUAUUGCAUUGUAUGGCCUCUCUGAGUCUUCUGUACUGAAUAAGUCAAAACUUUUAACAAUGGAUCUCAGAUCGGAAGAGCA
rnacentral:misc_RNA from 1 species